rnacentral:lncRNA from 1 species
AUUAUCUUGAAUGUUUAUUUGGCAACCAGUUAUGAAAAUCAGGAGCAGGAAAUCAUUUCAACUAGGAUCAGAGUAUCUUACUUACAUAAGGAACUUGACAGUGCCACAGCCUCAGUAAUACAUAUGCAAAACAGAUCUACAAUUUCCUUUGCUUAUUUGAAUUAAAAAAAAAAAAGCUAAUAUGUACUAUUUAGUAGAAAUACGUUGUUUUCCUGUCAAACAAUAUUGUAAACUAAUAAUUUGUCAAAGCUUCAAAGGUCUACUGCUGACCUGAUUUACUAUAUUGCGUAUUGUAAGGACUCCACAGUAGUAUGACUGAAGAGUGCUCUUGUCUUCCAAAAUUGAAAUGACUCCAUAAAUCUCCUUCAACCCAAUCAUACAUUAAUUAAAUAAAUGUAUGGUGCAUGCCUUUUGAACACAGAUAUUCAUUAUUUUGCUUGAUGAGUGACCCUAGCUAGAAUUUGCUGAUGUCCAAAGGGGUAAGCUUGUGACCUCAGGAACGUGGUUAAUUUUAAUUAGUCCAAGACGUGUUCAGACUCUGUUGUUUUGAAGCAUUUUAAUUCAGUUUUGAUGGCAUUAUUCUCAGGGAGCAUGAAACAGAUGCACAUAAUUCUUGUUAGCGUAUUACUUGAAGCUGACUUCAAACAUGUGUUCGUUGUAAAUCGUUAGACUGUUUUCAUCCAUUGGGAAUCCAGUCUGCCAAUUUGCUUUUCUUUAAAAAAUAAUUGUUAUUAUUACUACUGUUAUUGUUUGCAGCUCACACAUAGGAUCUAUGGCAUGUGGUUGGCACUUUUUAUGUUGAGAUCUAUAUGGAAAAAAAUCUCUGCUUAUAAAGCUUGUAGUAAAAGCCUCACUAUUUCUCACUUGUUUUUGUCCUAUGGAAGACUGAUUUCCUUAAGGGACGUACUUUUAACUUUUGUUGCCAGUUACAAUUUUUGUCCCUAUUCUGCCUGCAGAAAUGAAAUCUUCAUUUUCUAAUACUCUGAGAAUAUUUUUAAAACUAACAUAGUUUCACUUUUCUAUCUAAAAGUAGAGAUGGAAGAAGAACUAGAUAGCGUGUAGACAUCUACAAGCUCUGUUGUAAACUCCCAUCCACUAUUUCAUUGUUAGAAUAUGAAUUUGAGUGCAUUUCUUCACCAAACUGCCCCAGCAGAAGUGAAUUCCAGAUCACUCUGCAGGUUUUUUCUUGACUUCUGAUCACCUUAAGAUAAGAAAUGCUCAACAUCAUCUUGUGCCAGGUGAGCAUUGCCUCCCACUGCAUAGUCCCAUUGCUUUACCCGUUCAUUAUUUUUAUCCUUAGUAUGUCCCGUGAUACCCCAUGUUAUGAUGUUGAAUAAGGUCUUGAGGUAUUUUUUGGCUUGUUUCUUUUUGACAUAAGAAACUUGCUUGCAG